rnacentral:rRNA from 1 species
GACGAACGCUGGCGGCGCGCCUAACACAUGCAAGUCGAACGAGAGAUGAGGAGCUUGCUCUUCAAAUCGAGUGGCGAACGGGUGAGUAACGCGUGAGGAACCUGCCUCAAAGAGGGGGACAACAGUUGGAAACGACUGCUAAUACCGCAUAAGCCCACGGCUCGGCAUCGAGCAGAGGGAAAAGGAGCAAUCCGCUUUGAGAUGGCCUCGCGUCCGAUUAGCUAGUUGGUGAGGUAACGGCCCACCAAGGCGACGAUCGGUAGCCGGACUGAGAGGUUGAACGGCCACAUUGGGACUGAGACACGGCCCAGACUCCUACGGGAGGCAGCAGUGGGGAAUAUUGCACAAUGGGGGAAACCCUGAUGCAGCGACGCCGCGUGGAGGAAGAAGGUCUUCGGAUUGUAAACUCCUGUUGUUGAGGAAGAUAAUGACGGUACUCAACAAGGAAGUGACGGCUAACUACGUGCCAGCAGCCGCGGUAAAACGUAGGUCACAAGCGUUGUCCGGAAUUACUGGGUGUAAAGGGAGCGCAGGCGGGAGAACAAGUUGGAAGUGAAAUCCAUGGGCUCAACCCAUGAACUGCUUUCAAAACUGUUUUUCUUGAGUAGUGCAGAGGUAGGCGGAAUUCCCGGUGUAGCGGUGGAAUGCGUAGAUAUCGGGAGGAACACCAGUGGCGAAGGCGGCCUACUGGGUACCAACUGACGCUGAGGCUCGAAAGUGUGGGUAGCAAACAGGAUUAGAUACCCUGGUAGUCCACACCGUAAACGAUGAUUACUAGGUGUUGGAGGAUUGACCCCUUCAGUGCCGCAGUUAACACAAUAAGUAAUCCACCUGGGGAGUACGACCGCAAGGUUGAAACUCAAAGGAAUUGACGGGGGCCCGCACAAGCAGUGGAGUAUGUGGUUUAAUUCGACGCAACGCGAAGAACCUUACCAAGUCUUGACAUCCCUUGACGAUGCUGGAAACAGUAUUUCUCUUCGGAGCAAGGAGACAGGUGGUGCAUGGUUGUCGUCAGCUCGUGUCGUGAGAUGUUGGGUUAAGUCCCGCAACGAGCGCAACCCUUAUGGUCAGUUACUACGCAAGAGGACUCUGGCCAGACUGCCGUUGACAAAACGGAGGAAGGUGGGGAUGACGUCAAAUCAUCAUGCCCUUUAUGACUUGGGCUACACACGUACUACAAUGGCGUUAAACAAAGAGAAGCAAGACCGCGAGGUGGAGCAAAACUCAGAAACAACGUCCCAGUUCGGACUGCAGGCUGCAACUCGCCUGCACGAAGUCGGAAUUGCUAGUAAUCGUGGAUCAGCAUGCCACGGUGAAUACGUUCCCGGGCCU